GUACACGUGAUGCUGGCCCGCCGGUGUUUGUUGUUUGGUUCCCUGACGUUAGCGGCGGACGGGUGAGUAACACGUGGGCAACCUGCCUGUAAGACUGGGAUAACUUCGGGAAACCGAAGCUAAUACCGGAUAGGAUCUUCUCCUUCAUGGGAGAUGAUUGAAAGAUGGUUUCGGCUAUCACUUACAGAUGGGCCCGCGGUGCAUUAGCUAGUUGGUGAGGUAACGGCUCACCAAGGCAACGAUGCAUAGCCGACCUGAGAGGGUGAUCGGCCACACUGGGACUGAGACACGGCCCAGACUCCUACGGGAGGCAGCAGUAGGGAAUCUUCCGCAAUGGACGAAAGUCUGACGGAGCAACGCCGCGUGAGUGAUGAAGGCUUUCGGGUCGUAAAACUCUGUUGUUAGGGAAGAACAAGUACGAGAGUAACUGCUCGUACCUUGACGGUACCUAACCAGAAAGCCACGGCUAACUACGUGCCAGCAGCCGCGGUAAUACGUAGGUGGCAAGCGUUAUCCGGAAUUAUUGGGCGUAAAGCGCGCGCAGGCGGUUUCUUAAGUCUGAUGUGAAAGCCCACGGCUCAACCGUGGAGGGUCAUUGGAAACUGGGGAACUUGAGUGCAGAAGAGAAAAGCGGAAUUCCACGUGUAGCGGUGAAAUGCGUAGAGAUGUGGAGGAACACCAGUGGCGAAGGCGGCUUUUUGGUCUGUAACUGACGCUGAGGCGCGAAAGCGUGGGGAGCAAACAGGAUUAGAUACCCUGGUAGUCCACGCCGUAAACGAUGAGUGCUAAGUGUUAGAGGGUUUCCGCCCUUUAGUGCUGCAGCUAACGCAUUAAGCACUCCGCCUGGGGAGUACGGUCGCAAGACUGAAACUCAAAGGAAUUGACGGGGGCCCGCACAAGCGGUGGAGCAUGUGGGUUUAAUUCGAAGCAACGCGAAGAACCUUACCAGGUCUUGACAUCCUCUGACACUCUAGAGAUAGAGCGUUCCCUUUCGGGGACAGAGUGACAGGUGGUGCAUGGUUGUCGUCAGCCUCGUGUCGUGAGAUGUU
rnacentral:rRNA from 2 species